AGAGGAUCCGUGUGGUCUUUGAGUGCCAGGCUCCAAGGUGUGCAUUCAGAAAGACAGCCUGUCCUUUACAUAUUGUUCUGCAGCACAGAGCAGUGAUGGUAUGGGUAACAUAAGACCUGCAAUUAUGAGACCAAAGAGAAUGAGAGAAUAAAUUAAUGAGAGCAGAGAUUAAAUUAACAUAACCAGUGUCACCGAAUGACACACCUGAAAAUUCACAGCUGCCAGAAAACUUCCUGCUACUGGAGGGAGACAGUCCUUUAGCCAGGCAGUUCCUCAGUUUUGGCUUUCUGUGCAUUUGACUUUCUGAAACGUGACUGAAAAUAGGAGUGUGCCCAGACCCAGGCAGGAGGGCUGAGGAGUGGACUGCAGUGCUGCUGCUCUAGUGUGCUCCCCUCACUGCUGACUAGCAAAGAGCAACUGUUCAAAGAUGGGCCCUGGUGGCGGAAAGUUGUUUGCAGAAGUUACAGGCCACCGUUGGGCCAUCUGGCACUUAAGAAUGAGGCUCCUUUGUAUUCAGUGAGAAAAAAGAAAUUCAGCUGAACACACCCAGGAAAAAGCUCCACAGUGAGAUGAGUCCCUACAGAGACAGAGGCAACACUUUGGUCACCUUUGAUCACACUGAGCAGUGCUUGACCCUAUAUGGAUUUACCUAGAAGUUGGAAUCUACCCAACAGGGUAUGUGUUUAUGUUGUCAGACAAGGAAUAUCCAGGAAUAGCUCUCCAUUUUCAGAGCAAUUUUCAAGGCUUGAUACAUCCUGUGGAAUCUGUCUGUCCCAUCACUCAGACUGUGGACAAGGAAGUGUCGUUGCAGAAGACAAGUUCUCGUCUGUCUCAGUCCAUCUGGUGAAGCAUCAAGUGUGUGGGAGCACUUGGUCCAGAGCAAGGAGGUUCUUUACAGAAGAAUCAGCCUGAUGAGCACUGGUUUUCAUGUGCUUGCUUUGUUUGCAUGCUUUGUGGUUUUCCAUUGGACCAACCAAUGGACUUGCAUGACUAGAAAUUCAGGCAAGCAAAUUCCAUAAGCAGCUUGACAGCUACACAAGACUAAGAAGGCAAAGGCUACAGAGCAGAAGGCUCUUAAAAGCAAAGGCUUCUUAAGUGAAAUAUUGGUGGUCCUCACCUCUUGUCUUCAGUUCUCAGUGACCCAGGGUUAGCAAGAGAAGUCGGUACAGCUGUUCCAUUCUCAUCUCCAGAGUAACCCGGCACAGGCCAGUUUUUUUGUACCGUAUUCUGUACCAUUUCAUCAGCUGCAUCUCGUGGGCAAAGAAUGAAUAUGUUCCUGUAGCCCCUAUAAGAUGUCCUCAAGCAGCAGAAAGGUUCAUAUAUCCCAUAUGGAGCUUUGUGGCUUCAGGUCCACUCCUUUUUGGAAGGGAAGAUGGGUGAUUAGAUGGCAUCUACACCAGGUCUGGAUGUUCUCAUACCAAACAUUCUGUUCUGCUUGAUGCAGAAGGAAGGAAGCAUUUGAGGUUAAUCUUCAGCUUUUCCACUGCCAGUAAGUUAAAAUAAGGCCAGUUUUGGAACUGGAAUUCAAAGGAGGAAGAAGCUGGAUGUUUUUGCUGCUAUUACAGUGAUUUCUACUUUCAACAACUUUCAUCUGACUCAUGCUUUCUAAAUGGUCUCUUGCAGAGAUCUUUCAGAGCCUUCUUUGCUUAAUUUCCUUUUUAGCAUUCUGUUGAUUUAUUUCCUCUGUUGCCAUCUGAAUCUCACUUUAUAUGGCUUUUGACAGAUGCUUCUGUUUUUAACUUGCUGCGAGCUAAGGCUGUUAGAUUCACAUUGUACAUUUGCUCUGCUAUUGCAUAUUCUGGAUUGCACUUUCAUAUUAUUCCCUUUUGGUCUAAUAAUGCAAAGACAUCAGCGAUUUUUACCUUGAGAGUUAUGAACUCGACACAUAAAAUUCUUCACACACAUAAACAGUUGCUCUCUUUGAAGCAGUGGCUGUUCUUCCUGUAAAGUUAUCUGAAUGAUAGGAUACCUUUUCCUGCUUCCAGACUCAGUGCCAUGUAUUUCAUUGAACAACUCCUAAUACA